rnacentral:lncRNA from 1 species
CUUUUAAGGAAAUCAAUAUAUCACGAAAAAUGCAUAGAAGAACAUCUGGCAAUAACAUUUCAGGGCUGAGGAGCUACAGUCUAAAUGCAUACGCAUGUUGGGAACCGAAGUCAGCCAUCUUCCCUAGGACAAAUCUUUACUCUUCUAAAGAAGGACAAGAAUAAGAAUUGAAAACACUUUUCACAGUAUAGACAUCUAUAGUGUGUAAAACCAUCUUUACAAAACCCAUAUAUACAGAAAAAUCUCAGUCUUCAAUUUGAAGGUUCUUUGCCGUGCUAACAUAUGUUGUAGAGAAUGACCACAUAGUAAUUGUCUAGUCUUUUCUCCUAACCCCAAUAGGAUUUGAAUGACUUUCAUCGUAAUGAAGGCUUCUGCAGAGUAAUUGAUUUUGACCAUGAGUACCUGUUGAAGUCACAGCAACUUCUCCUUCUAGAUUAUCUUACAGCAGUGGACCAGACAGCAGUGCUCAAGAGAGGCAAGUAUGUCUUUAAGGAAGCUUCCUGCUUGCCGGGGAAAGCUGCAGAGUAUGUGGCAUUCAACUGUCAUGUCUACAUCCAUGUUGAAAAAGUCUUUCGGCUUUAAGGAUAAUCAACCCGCGGUACUCUUUCUUUA